CAGCCUUGAGCGUGGGAGACCACAAGAGUUGGUCCGCAGCCACCGGUCCCGCUCACCUGAACGCGGCCCCGCUCACUCCGGGAUGCGCUGGCAGCCCCGCCGCACGCACAGACUGCGCCGCGAGCGCCCGGCUCCCUCCCGAGCUCCUCCCGGAGAUGCCGCACCUGCCCGCGUCCCCAUCCAUGCUGCGAUGUCCCCUGCGCUCGGGACACGCUCUGCCCCUCGCUGCCCAGCCCGCCCGGGAUGUGUCGCUGCACCUGGGGCUGGCGGUGCCCGUGUCCCCUGCGAGGGACAGCGAGCGGGACGGGACGCCCGGAAUAGCAGCGGCAGACACCCCCAUAGCCACGCACACCGCGUUUGAGUUUUCCACAAGAUGUCCCAGAGCGAGAAGAGCAUCCCAGCCGGAGAAAUCCCUCCUCCAGGAGAGAUCGUAAAAUUCUUUCCUAAAAUUAAUCAAACUCUGGAGUACUUUCAAGCCCCAUAGCCAUGCACACCGUGUUUAAGCUUUCCAAAAAAUGUCCCAGAGCAAGAAGAGCAUCCCAGCAGGAGAAAUUCCUCCUCCAGGAGAGAUCUAAAAGUCUUUCCUCACCUUAAUGUUUCUAUAUUUUAAUUUCAACCUCACCCAUAUCAAUGCACACUAUAUUAUAGUGUGUAUAAACUAUAUAUAGUAUUAUAUAAACUAUAUUAAGUUUUCCGAAAGAUGUCUCAGACCAAGAAGAGCAUCUCAGCAGGAGAAGAAAGAUCCAAGCAAACUUAAAAAGUCUUUCCCAACCUUAAUGUUUCUAUAUUUUACUUUCAACCUCCCCCAUAUCAAUGUACACUAUAUUAUACUGCAUAUAAACUAUAUAUACUAUUAUAUAAACUAUAUAUACUAUUAUACAAACUGUAUUAAGUUUUCCACAAGAUGUCCCAGAGCAAGAAGAGCAUCCCAGCAGAAGAAAUCCCUGCUCCAGGAGAGAUCCAAGCAAUUUUAAUAAAUUUUCCCUACCUUAAUUAUUCUCUGUAUUAUUUUCCAAACCCCCACACCCACGUAGCCAACAUUUAGGUGCUCCAAAGGAUGUCAGACAAUUGGGAGAUGUAAAGAAAGACCCAGCAGAAGAAAUAA